rnacentral:rRNA from 1 species
CAACAGGGAUUGCCUUAGUAACUGCGAGUGAAGCGGCAAGAGCUCAAAUUUUAAAUCUGACGUCCUCGGGCGUCCGAGUUGUAAUUUGGAGGGACAUAUUCGGUGGCGGCGCCGUCCUAAGUUCCUUGGAACAGGACGUCACAGAGGGUGAGAAUCCCGUGCCUGGGCGGCUGCCCGUCACCUUGUGAAUUGUCUCCAACGAGUCGAGUUGUUUGGGAAUGCAGCUCAAAAUGGGUGGUAAAUUUCAUCUAAAGCUAAAUAUUGGCGAGAGACCGAUAGCGCACAAGUAGAGUGAUCGAAAGAUGAAAAGCACUUUGAAAAGAGAGUUAAAAAGUACGUGAAAUUGUUGAAAGGGAAGCGCUUGCGACCAGAUUCGAUCUUUGGCGAUCCUCUGGGCCUUCCAGGCUCGGUGCGCUUGCCACUGAUCGGGCCAGCAUCGGUUCCGAGGGCGGGAUAAAAGUUCGGGGAAUGUGGCUUCCUUCGGGAGGUGUUAUAGACCCGAUCAUAAUGCCGCCAUUUGGGACCGAGGACCGCGCUUCGGCUAGGAUGCUGGCGUAAUGGUCUUAAGCGA